rnacentral:rRNA from 1 species
AGUCGAACGGAAAGGCCCUUCGGGGUACUCGAGUGGCGAACGGGUGAGUAACACGUGGGUGAUCUGCCCUGCACUUUGGGAUAAGCCUGGGAAACUGGGUCUAAUACCGAAUAGGAUCAUGCUCUUCAUGGGGUGUGGUGGAAAGCUUUUGCGGUGUGGGAUGGGCCCGCGGCCUAUCAGCUUGUUGGUGGGGUAAUGGCCUACCAAGGCGACGACGGGUAGCCGGCCUGAGAGGGUGACCGGCCACACUGGGACUGAGAUACGGCCCAGACUCCUACGGGAGGCAGCAGUGGGGAAUAUUGCACAAUGGGCGCAAGCCUGAUGCAGCGACGCCGCGUGAGGGAUGACGGCCUUCGGGUUGUAAACCUCUUUCACCAGGGACGAAGCGCAAGUGACGGUACCUGGAGAAGAAGCACCGGCCAACUACGUGCCAGCAGCCGCGGUAAUACGUAGGGUGCGAGCGUUGUCCGGAAUUACUGGGCGUAAAGAGCUCGUAGGUGGUUUGUCGCGUUGUUCGUGAAAACUCACAACUCAAUUGUGGGCGUGCGGGCGAUACGGGCAGACUAGAGUACUGCAGGGGAGACUGGAAUUCCUGGUGUAGCGGUGGA